UCCCGCGUGGUCUAGCGGUUAGGAUUCCUGGCUUUCACCCAGGCGGCCCGGGUUCGACUCCCGGCGCGGGA
rnacentral:ncRNA from 11 species